AUGAACGCCGGCGGUGUGCCUAAUACAUGCAAGUCGAACGCGUUGGCCCAAUUGAUUGAUGGUGCUUGCACCUGAUUGAUUUUGGUCGCCAACGAGUGGCGGACGGGUGAGUAACACGUAGGUAACCUGCCCAGAAGCGGGGGACAACAUUUGGAAACAGAUGCUAAUACCGCAUAACAGCGUUGUUCGCAUGAACAACGCUUAAAAGAUGGCUUCUCGCUAUCACUUCUGGAUGGACCUGCGGUGCAUUAGCUUGUUGGUGGGGUAACGGCCUACCAAGGCGAUGAUGCAUAGCCGAGUUGAGAGACUGAUCGGCCACAAUGGGACUGAGACACGGCCCAUACUCCUACGGGAGGCAGCAGUAGGGAAUCUUCCACAAUGGGCGCAAGCCUGAUGGAGCAACACCGCGUGAGUGAAGAAGGGUUUCGGCUCGUAAAGCUCUGUUGUUAAAGAAGAACACGUAUGAGAGUAACUGUUCAUACGUUGACGGUAUUUAACCAGAAAGUCACGGCUAACUACGUGCCAGCAGCCGCGGUAAUACGUAGGUGGCAAGCGUUAUCCGGAUUUAUUGGGCGUAAAGAGAGUGCAGGCGGUUUUCUAAGUCUGAUGUGAAAGCCUUCGGCUUAACCGGAGAAGUGCAUCGGAAACUGGAUAACUUGAGUGCAGAAGAGGGUAGUGGAACUCCAUGUGUAGCGGUGGAAUGCGUAGAUAUAUGGAAGAACACCAGUGGCGAAGGCGGCUACCUGGUCUGCAACUGACGCUGAGACUCGAAAGCAUGGGUAGCGAACAGGAUUAGAUACCCUGGUAGUCCAUGCCGUAAACGAUGAUUACUAGGUGUUGGAGGAUUGACCCCUUCAGUGCCGCAGUUAACACAAUAAGUAAUCCACCUGGGGAGUACGACCGCAAGGUUGAAACUCAAAGGAAUUGACGGGGGCCCGCACAAGCAGUGGAGUAUGUGGUUUAAUUCGACGCAACGCGAAGAACCUUACCAAGUCUUGACAUCCCUCUGACCGACUCUUAACCGAGUCUUUCCUUCGGGACAGGGGAGACAGGUGGUGCAUGGUUGUCGUCAGCUCGUGUCGUGAGAUGUUGGGUUAAGUCCCGCAACGAGCGCAACCCUUGUUACUAGUUGCCAGCAUUAAGUUGGGCACUCUAGUGAGACUGCCGGUGACAAACCGGAGGAAGGUGGGGACGACGUCAGAUCAUCAUGCCCCUUAUGACCUGGGCUACACACGUGCUACAAUGGACGGUACAACGAGUCGCGAACUCGCGAGGGCAAGCAAAUCUCUUAAAACCGUUCUCAGUUCGGACUGCAGGCUGCAACUCGCCUGCACGAAGUCGGAAUCGCUAGUAAUCGCGGAUCAGCAUGCCGCGGUGAAUACGUUCCCGGGCCUUGUACACACCGCCCGUCACACCAUGAGAGUUUGUAACACCCAAAGUCGGUGGGGUAACCUUUUAGGAGCCAGCCGCCUAAGGUGGGACAGAUGAUUAGGGUG
rnacentral:rRNA from 1 species